UUUGACAGUCUUUAGUCUUCGCAAAACCUGCAGGGCUAACCCUGCAGCUCUCAGGAGCACAACAGUAGGAGGAUGCCUCCAGCAGCAACAGUGGGAGUCUGAACUUGCACAGGCUUAACCUCUGUCUGGGGAUGACAAACACCUCCAGAAAUCUUCCAGAAUAUUCCUGCUUUCUUGCACUUGCUAAAAUUCUCAUGGCAUGGACAGUUUGUCUAAAUGAAGAAUUUCACUUGGGCACUUCUAGGUUUGCAACUCUUUAAAAAGUCUUCAUCGUUGAUGUCGAGAACACCUGGAUGGAACAGAUCAAUGAAACAUGAACUGCAGACUGACUCCUACUCCCACACACAUGCAUUGCUGCAGACCUUCUGCAGCUGCUGCACAUAACUAGCUUUGGACUUGGUCCAGAGAUGCAAAGGCCUUCAGUCUGCUCAACACUGCCACGCAGACAGCAGAACUAGCCACCAGCUCACGAAUAAGUACCAUCUCCCAACAGCAGGUUGGUAUUUUAGGGGAAAAAAUCACUAUUAUAUUGCAAACCUAACACCACAGCUGAAUACUUUUGUUUGCCCUGCUGGGCACAGAUUAACUUUCAACAGACGAAGAACAAAAAAUAAGUCUGGGUUCACACCACCAAAAAGGAUUUUGUAGCACAGUUGUGGUGAUCUCAAAUCACAAUCCAAAAGGUAACUGAGGCGGCUCCAGCACUUCAGAUGUCUGUGGAACAGAACCACAAUCAUCUGCCAAGUUGCCUAUAAAGGACAUCACAAUAGCCCUAAGCCUCUGUGAGUCCUGUUUUAAACAUAAGCAGCAGAAGGUGGAGGGAUUUCUACACACACAGAGAUCACCUUACAACUGGAAGAGGAAAAAAUGAAAGAAAAAGGAGGGAAAAAAAAAAAAAAAAAAAAGGACAAGACAGACAGUCUUGCUGCUACAUCUCUCAAACUGAUGUCACGAGAAGAGUUCCCCAGGCCCAGGUCUUGCUCAGGAAGCUCAAGAGUGCUGCACGAUCUUUGCAAAAGGUUCAAUUGCCUCGCUUCCCCCUGUGCUGGAGUGACACAGCUAGCAGCAGUAACAGUGGCCUUCACAAGCCGUGAAGAACAUCACCAGCACAGAGACAGCAGAAUCGGGAGGCACCUCUUGGACACCCGCAGAACCUCCUACCCAAAGGCAUCCACGUAGACAACUCACACAGUCAAACCACAGCAAUACAGCUGUGCAGGGCCUUCUGCCUGGAGGACCUUGACCUGCACCUGGGCCGUCUGGCUGCCAAGCACAAACCCCAGGAGCAGGACUCAUUACACUUCAUGCACCCUUCUGCCGUUGUUCCCUGCAUUUGAUAUUCUAAAUAAAAUCAAACAUAUUGUGUUUCCUGCAAAA